UAUAUAUAUGACUAAAAAAAGUCAUUAUCCAUAUUUCUCUAAGGAGGAAAUUGAAAAUAUUGUUAUGAAGGAUCCAGGAAGCCUAUACCUCUAACUGCUCUAUACUGGCACAAGAUAUAAUAAUUCAUACUGAUCUUUCUCGGUGAGAUAACAGAUAGUAGGCAAGAGUUCAUUUGAAAAGUGAAACAAAAUACAUUCUGAAUGCCGUUUCUCAUUAUCUACCCAGCUUUAGUGAUGAUAAUGUGUGUGGCGACUGUGCCUAGUGGAUAAUACUUGAAAUAUGCCUAACAAAAAUGUGAAUUUAUUCAUUUUUAUGUAGGUCAAUCAAACAUCUGCCUGGAGACCUCAUUUAAUUCAGGUCAAAAGAGGCAGCAACCGUCCACAUUCAGUAGACUUGACAGCAAACAUCAAAAGACAGCCAUUUUAGAUCCUCCCCAAUGCUCCUCCCUGACACACAUUUUAUUUAGAAAAAAAAAAAAUAGGUUCCCAAGUAAGAGGGAGGCUCCUGAGAGAAGAGAAGCAGAGCAUGGUGUCAUCAGUCAACACAUGUAUUGUUGGGAAUUCAUGUUCUGUCUGCUGGUCUUCCCCAACCGCUGGUUCUCCUGCACCCACCAAAUCGCAGGCCAUUGCUCUGAGAUGCGCCUUCUUUGUUCUCACACAAUUCUCACCCUGCUGAGCAGUGAUGGAAUUUGGGGGUGUGUUUCCAUAGAAUCCUGUGCAUCCAGAGACCAUGGGAGGAGAUUAGGUUCUGUCUCUGAGCUAGGAUACUGCUUUGUCAGAUCACUUGCUAUGGAAUUUGAUUUUUCAUAGGCAGUCCCACCUGGAAUCACAGACUCCUUGCAUAUCAGAAUUAUUUAGCUCUUGCUGACAGCAGCCAUUCAUUCCCUAGGAAUGGUGCCUCUGGCCUUUGGAGAGACCCUCACCUGAGUCUGAUUUUCUUGUUUGCUUUAGUCUCCAUUCUCUUUCCUCCUGGUGUUUUAUGCUUUUACUUUUUUUAAUUGUUCCCUUGCUUAUUUAUGCUCUCUUACUUUUAUUUGACUCUCAUUUUUCUUCAGAGCAAUAGUGCUUUGAGCUUUUUCAGUCCUUUGUCUCCUAUACCUAGGUCAUUAAUUAUUUCAUAGAUGAAAAAAAAAUGGAGUUAAAGGAUUCUCUGGCUUUGGCGUGAUACUUCUUUCUUGGAACAAAAUGGAUAGGAAGAAGGAAUGGCUUGAAAGAAACAUGUGAGAGGACUUAGAAGGGUCAGAUAGAAAGGUCUAGGAAGGCUUCACAAUAUGGGUGUACUAUGCAGGCUUUAUACUUCUUCUUGGCAUGCUAAAGAGAACUAGGUGCCUAUGGGAAGGCAGAAACAGGUGUCUAUCACUAGAACACAGCUCUGUGGGAAAGGCUCACUCUGUUUACUUGUAAAACUCUUGAGUAGGCCCAACACAGCAGCUGUGCAACAGAUGAGUGCUGGUUUCCUGGCUGAAGGAGCAUGUCUCAUCUCUUACUCGGCUUGAAAAUGGUCCUCGUUUCAAUGGUAGGCUUCAGAGUGGGCCUAAAAGGGAAGUGAGUGGAGGCCUGAAGCUUUGAUAAACGUAAUGAAUACUUUCUGGCUUUGAAAAUGUAGCCUGAGAUGUGCCGUGGUGACACACCUCUUUGAUCCUAGCACUGGAGAAACAAAGGCAGGAGGAUCUCUGUGAGUUCCAGGCCAUUCUGGUCUACAGAGUGAGUUCUAGGACAGCCAGGGCUACCUGGAGAAACCAUGUCUUGGAGAGGAGUAAAGGAAUCUUAAAUAUGUGUUUUCUCCAAGGGGUCAUCUAAGGACUGAGCUCUCUGACAAAUACCUAAAAGUGUGACAGUGGUGGUGAAAAUUGGAGAUUAAUAUCCUAGAGGGCACAGUCCUGACUGGUUCAUUGUGGAUAGGUCCAUGAGUGCCAUGGGUCAGCUCCUUAGCAGUGUGUGUGACAAGAUCCCUGAACUCCUGUCUCCGUUUCAGGGAUGUAUCUACUCUUUGCUUCCAUCCACACAUGUGCUGAAGAUAGGACUGUGUCUAGUGGGAAGCCUAGCUCAUAAUGAAGUCAUUUAUCCAACUUGAACCCAAGUAUGGGAAAUAUGUUCAGAAUACAUAUAUUGAUAGCCACAUGGGUGCCAAUUAGUAAUAACGUGUUUAAAUACAUAUCAAUACAGCGUCCCAAAGGUAUGGUAUAGGUUUUCAAAGGGACUAUGCUGUUAUAUGAAGGUGAAUAUUUGACCUUAUAACCUUUAACCCAUUCCUUCUAAUGAACUAGCUAUAACAAAUAAGUUCGAAGUUAAAAAAAGUUCUCAGGAAAAGUAUUUCAUCCCAUUUAUUGGGAAUUUGGCUGUGAAGUGUUGUAUGUCCUCAAGUUUAGCAGUGUACUGGGCAACAGACUGUCACCAACAAAUUAACAGUGAUUUUCAAAAACGCCCAUUUUGAUGCCUAGAAGACACGAUUAGAUGAUAAGGUAAUACUAAAGCUAUCACUUCAGUUUCUACUUUGGAAAAAGGGAUACAAAUACUGAGGCUCCAUUUUCCAGGAGUAUUUCUAAACAAAUCAGGCAUGAAAAGGGAUAUUCAAUGAAAAUGUUUAACAAUGUUUGUAUCUAGACAUUUUUAGUUGAUCUUGCCUUAAUCCUUAAGUAACUGUUCAGUUAUUUCAGAGUCUAUUAAAUAGUCAAAUUACACUGAACAAAUUCCAGGAUAUAAAAAUAUUUCUUUCACAGGAUCUAAGAGGCCAAUAAGUAGUCAAUGGACACAUGUGCUCAAAAUUCUUCUCGUAAAAUCCCACCAGUAUGUACAACUUUUAAUCUCUAGUUUCCCUCAGUGCCAUAAUGAAAUACCAUUUGCUGAGAUCUACUUUGAUCUGUCACCCUCAACUUAGUUGUCUUUUAUGAAUUUUGGAGUUAGUAGGUUUUUGAUUAUUUAGAUUUUGUUACUUGAGCUUCACAUUAGCUUAUUUUUAUCCAUAUUCUCCUUCAUCUAUCUUAAAAAGGUAGCUUAAAUGACAUAAUUGUCACCAAAGGCUAUCUUCUAUAACUGUCCUGACUGUAACGGGCAGGGAGUCGAGGUGUGCUUAGCCACUUUUUGGUCAGGUGACACACUUGUACUUUUAGAGAUUAUAGGCUGUACUCACAGGUCCACCGUAGCCAUAUCCUUCCCACAAUGCAACACUUGGACAGCCAGUGGUGCUUUAAAAAAUGAUACAUGAUUGCAUUUAUUUAAAACUGUCUAAAUAGCAACUAUAGAAAGGAUUAACACUAAAAUGGGCCUUUUCGUUAGUUAAAUGAAAUCAAUUAUCUUCCGAUUUCCCACAGGCUGUGAUUUACUGUUAUUGAAUUCUGAUCAUGAUUGAAAAGCCAUUUUCUUCUUUGAUUGAAACAUCUCUCUGCAGUGAAGAAGCCAAAAGGAAGUCCUAUUCUAAAUCUACAUUUGCUACAACAGGACCCUGAGAGCCUGACAUCCACAACUACUGAAAACAGUGAGUCAGGGACUACUGAAGCAGAUGAUUGUAAUUCUAGGUGUUGACAUCUGGUCUUGUCACUGUGGGCGGAAUUCAGUGCACGCCCUCUUCAGCAGGAGUCGCUCAAAGUCAUCAGGAAGUGCACCUCAGUCUGCAACCCGCGCAGUAGAGAACUAACUGAGUGGAUGACUUCAGACAUGCCCCCCCCCCCUGCCUACUACACUGGCAGAAAAUCUGCAUUACUGCUGCGAGACUCUCCAACAGUCCUCUUCUAGAACUCGGAGCUUUGAACACUGUACUGAGAGUAAGGGUUCACAGAAGGUUCUGGAUAUUGAACUGAAGUCAUCUGAGUUCAACAGCAAGCACAGUUGAGCUAUCUUCAGACCCAGCUUUCAGACCAAGAGGUACUGCUCCUUCCUGGUUUUUCCCUCUUAUCUGUGUGUCUGUGGCUUUAAGAAACACAUGUAAACUUUCAGAAGCUUAAUACUGUCUUGGCUGGAAAAAAAUCUAAUUUUAGAGCAUAGGAGAGAUUAGGGGCCUAACUAAAAUAAUGUUCUGAGAUGCACUAUGCAGAAUCAAGGGAAUAGCAUGAGAUCAGGUGGUAUCUUAGCACUUUCUGUUUUAAUUUCUUUCUUAUUCUUAAUCCAGAAACCUUCUUUUUACUAAAAAUCACUUAUAAUUAUAUUGUUCAUUGGUCCAAACCAAUCAAUCAUUUCUAUUUUGUGCUUCUAAUAUUUCUUCAAGUGCCUAUAUGAAUAACCUGUAGGCCCACGAAUUCCGAAAAUCGAGUGCGUUUAAAUAGGUUCAAUGCAGCCAGCACUGCUCUGUAGCCACAUCGGGAAAUCCGUGUGCUCUCAAGACACAGCUGGCCAUUUUGAAGCUACCUUCUCAACUUUCUGGAAGAAAGGAUGAGUAUCCAGUAGAUGUGUGGCAUCACAGACAAAGGUGUUUUCAGUUUCUAUGAUUUCACCCUGGCUCGCCCAUCAAGCACAAUGCUCAUUGUUACCAACCAGAUGAAUCCCUUAAAUGACCUCCAGUCUCAGCAGCUUCUAUAGCUAAAAGCUCCUCAAUCAAGCAGCUUUGAGGUGGAAAAAACCUUUUAUUCUAUAACACAUUAAAAGAUUUUUCUACUCCCCCUGACUUGGGCAAUUUCCCUAGCUUUUACUAUGAGAACUAGACAGGGUGCUGUAUUCAUGUGUCUGGUCAAGGUCCUAAAGCUAACUUAUCCCAUUUGCUAAAGAAUACUUGUUUCUCCAGUUGAAUCUAAAAAUGUAGACACUUACAAAAC
rnacentral:sRNA from 1 species